rnacentral:tRNA from 1 species
UGGGGCGUGGUGCAAUGGCAGCACAGCGGACUUUGGAUCCGUAUAUCCUGGUUCGAAUCCGGGCGCCCCAG